rnacentral:rRNA from 1 species
AUAUAUUAUUAAUAAUUAAUAAUUAAUUCACGAAAUUAGACGAGCUAAAAGUUUAGGUAAUUAGAACCAAAGGUAAGUGUAACAAUACUUAUUCAAUAUAAUUUUUAGGGUGAAAGGCCUUACAAGUUUAAUGAUAACUUGAUAUUAGGAGACAUAUUUAGUAUUUAAUCAAAUUAGAAAUGUUAAGGUUUCUAACUAUUAUAAUUUUUAUAGAAUAAAUUAAUUAACUGGUUAACACUUUAAAUUUUAUUAGAUGACCACUAAUUAUUAUUAUAAUAUAAUAAUUACUAAUUAAUUUUAAUAAAUUUUAAUUAAAACUUAUAAUGUAUAUAUUAGUAUUAAUAUUUAGGUUAAGUAAAGGAACUCGACAACUAAGUUUUUCAUCUGUUUACCAAAAACAUAGCUCUAAGUAAGUGUUUAGGGUAAUUUCUGCUCAAUGGUUUAACUAAAUAGCCGCAGUAUCUUGACUGUGCAAAGGUAGCAUAAUCAAUUGGCUUAUAAUUGAAGUCUAGAAUGAAUGGAAUCAUGGAAAAUAAUUGUCUUUACUUAAAUAGUAAAAAUUACUAAUUAAGUGAAAAUUCUUAAAUAAAUAAAAUAGACGAGAAGACCCUAGAAAUUUUUUAUAAUAACUACAAACUAUUAUUUUGUUGGGGCGACAAGGUAACAUAAAACUUACCUAUUUAUGUUGGGAACUAAUUAGUGGUAUAAUUAAAUUACUCUAGGGAUAACAGCACUAUUUCAAUAAAGUUUGUGACCUCGAUGUUGGACUAGGAAAUUUUUUAUUUAGAAGAUAAAAUAUUGUGCUCUGUUCGAGCAAUUUUUCCUACAUGAUCUGAGUUCAGACCGG